CAGAGUUUCGCGUGGCACCACCCGGGCAGAAUCUCAGAUACAGCUAACGAGCAGCUGAGGGAAAGGAGCUGGGAAGAGAGGCAUUGCAGCAGGUACGCUGUGGUUGUGAAGUGCCUCAGGGUGUGCUUUUUCUCUUGUCUCUGCAGGUGCCUAGUGUAGUCUUGGACAGGGAAAUCCCCAUGUCACGGAGCAGUGACGGAAGGUGGCAUGGGUGAUGCUGGCCGCUCCUUUUCAGCUUGGAUCUAAUUUCCAGGUACAGAGGCAACUGGACUGCUGUUUUGAAAUGAUAAAAUUAAAUAUGGGGUCACUUAUGUGUUUGAGGGAUGAGUGCU